rnacentral:rRNA from 1 species
ACGCUUUUUACUUUUAGCUUGCUAGAAGUAGAAGGAAGUUGCGAACGGGUGAGUAACGCGUAGGUAACCUACCUACUAGCGGGGGAUAACUAUUGGAAACGAUAGCUAAUACCGCAUAAGAGUUUUUAACACAUGUUAGAAGCUUGAAAGAUGCAAAUGCAUCACUAGUAGAUGGACCUGCGUUGUAUUAGCUAGUUGGUGGGGUAAAGGCCUACCAAGGCGACGAUACAUAGCCGACCUGAAAGGGUGAACGGCCACACUGGGACUGAGACACGGCCCAGACUCCUACGGGAGGCAGCAGUAGGGAAUCUUCGGCAAUGGGGGCAACCCUGACCGAGCAACGCCGCGUGAGUGAAGAAGGUUUUCGGAUCGUAAAUCUCUGUUGUAAGAGAAGAACGUGUGUGAGAGUGGAAAGUUCACACAGUGACGGUAACUUACCAGAAAGGGACGGCUAACUACGUGCCAGCAGCCGCGGUAAUACGUAGGUCCCGAGCGUUGUCCGGAUUCAUUGGGCGUAAAGCGAGCGCAGGCGGUUUAAUAAGUCUGAAGUUAAAGGCAGUGGCUUAACCAUUGUUCGCUUUGGAAACUGUUAAACUUGAGUGCAGAAGGGGAGAGUGGAAUUCCAUGUGUAGCGGUGAAAUGCGUAGAUAUAUGGAGGAACACCGGUGGCGAAAGCGGCUCUCUGGUCUGUAACUGACGCUGAGGCUCGAAAGCGUGGGGAGCAAACAG